AAACAACUUGUUUAUCUUUCAUUUGAGCUAUUUUACUUGUUAAUGUGUGGAGGUUAAAUAUUUUUAGGAAUAUUUCUUGCGUUCCCUGCGCCACAUUCCAGCUGGGGGGGUGGGGGCGCGUUCCCAAAUGGGAACUGGUGUCUCUAACAGGUUUUUAAACCUUUAUAACUUUGCAUCAAUCACACAUGACUUGUUUGAAGCAUAUCUCCAAAGGGAUAAGAUUUGUGAAUGAUUUAUUACAUGUAAUAAUAUUACAUAUAAGCCUACAUGUAGCCAACUUUAUUUAUGAACAAAAUCGGUCUUUGCUCCCAUAGACACACAGAAGCAUGGUAUUUUUGAGGUGAAUGGAAACCUUCAGGUGCUCUAUAUGAAGGAGAAACCCCUUCCCUCUGAGACCAAAUCUAGAAGAGUAUGUCCUUGUUUCUACAUGUUUUCCAAGAAAAGCCUUUAUUGGAGGAUGCUUUUCUUGAUGGAAAGAAGAAAGCCUGUGUAUAUUCAUCAGAUUUCUGUCCGUUUUGAUGUGGGAAACCUUGCUUCCUAUGUUUAACGUGACUGUUACUUCAGAGAAGAUCUUCAAGGUGUGGGAAACCUUCCUUCCUAUGUUUAAUGUGUCUGGUACUUCAGAGAAGACCUUCAAGAUGUGAAGUCUUACACAAUAUAGCUUACUCAGGUGCAUUUGUGAGGUUGACAAUGUGAAGAAAACAGCAACUUUGACUAUUACAAAAACAUAUCAAGAGUAAAUGUAUUCAAAUGAAUUAAAACAUGUCUGUUGAUACUGUGGCUCACUGUGACCCGAAUUACAAGCAUGACUUAGUUGGCUUAUGUCAAUACAGUGAACAAAGAUAACAUUCCUGAUUAAA